GUACAUGGCUGUUGGGCAUGUAGAUGAGUUACCACUGGUGGGGGUUUUAUUAUCUCAAAUUCACUUCCUACAACUUCACUGUAAACCUGAAGAAACAAAAAAAAAAAAGCAUCAAGGUAGAGGACUGAGUCUACCUCGUUCAAAGUUCGAAGCAUUGUUUUUUUUUUUUUUUGACAUUAUCAAUGCAUUUAUUGACUUGUUAAAUUCAAAUUUUCCAUUCGAGCUUUUUGGUUUUUUGUACCUGGAAGCUCCUACGAAUGAACUCGUCCUCUCCUUUACCGGUCAUACCGUAAUUGUAGCCUCCAGUUCCGCCACCACCGCCACCACUGCUAUUCAAAAAUGGAUUUGUUGGAUUUCCUCCUUUUAAAAUAAAAAGAACACCAAGAUUACCACCAGCUGUUUGAUAUGUUGCACCAUAACUUGGCUCUUGUGCCAUUUCAUGAAGUCUACUUGAACUUAAUGCUCGAGGUAUAGCAUUACUUGGUACACCAUGUGGUGCAAGAUGUGUUGCUUCAGCAACUUGAUGUGGAUCCUCUGUUUGUGAUAAUCGAUAAACAACUGUACUAUAACGUGGCUUGACAAGUCCACUGUGUUUAACUGGAUCGUAAUUUGCAGCAAAGGAAACGGACAUUGGACUCAUACCACCAGAUGUACGAUAUGCUCUCAUACUUCUGCGUUGUCUAACAAGUGAUGUGACUGUUGUCAUCAAAAUCAUCAUUAACAUCAUCGUCAUCAGUGCUUCGUCUCAUCCGUUCAAAAACAACAUUGGCAGCAACCUCAAGAUCACCAUCAUCUUCAUC